rnacentral:rRNA from 1 species
AGUUGCCUCGGGACGCAGCAGUGAGGAAUAUUGGUCAAUGGCCGAAGGGCUGAACCAGCCAAGCCGCGUGAAGGAAUAAGGCCCUACGGGUCGUAAACUUCUUUAGUCAGGGAACAAAGGGAGCCACGCGUGGCGCUGCGAGUGUACCUGAAGAAUAAGCAUCGGCUAACUCCGUGCCAGCAGCCGCGGUAAUACGGAGGAUGCGAGCGCUAUCCGGAUUUAUUGGGUUUAAAGGGUGCGUAGGCGGUUUGUCAAGUCAGCGGUAAAAAUUCCGGGCUCAACCCGGUCCCGCCGUUGAAACUGGG